CGGCGCAGGGCGGGGGUAGUGACCCCGCCAGCGCCUAACCACCAACUGCCUGCAAAGGAGGCAAUCA
rnacentral:antisense_RNA from 1 species